rnacentral:rRNA from 1 species
AUUGAACGCUAGCGGGAUGCCUUACACAUGCAAGUCGAACGGAGUGGCGAACGGGUGAGUAAUGUAUCGGAACGCGCCCAGUAGCGGGGGAUAACUACGCGAAAGCGUAGCUAAUACCGCAUACUAUUUGAGCGGCCGAUAUCGGAUUAGCUAGUCGGUGGGGUAACGGCUCACCAAGGUGACGAUCCGUCGCUGCUUUGAGAGGACGACCAGCCACACUGGGACUGAGACACGGCCCAGACGAAUACGGGAGGCAGCAGUGGGGAAUUUUGGACAAUGGGGGAAACCCUGAUCCAGCCAUCCCGCGUGUGUGAAGAAGGCAUUCGGGUUGUAAAGCACUUUUAGCAGGAAAGCGGUACCUGCAGAAUAAGCACCGGCUAACUACGUGCCAGCAGCCGCGGUAAUAC